UACGUAGGGGGCAAGCGUUGUCCGGAAUCAUUGGGCGUAAAGAGCGUGUAGGCGGCCCGAUAAGUCCGCUGUGAAAGUCCAGGGCUCAACCCUGGGAUGCCGGUGGAUACUGUCGGGCUCGAGUCCGGAAGAGGAGUGUGGGAAUUCCUGGUGUAGCGGUGAAAUGCGCAGAUAUCAGGAGGAACACCAAUGGCGAAGGCAGCACCCUGGGACGGUGACUGACGACUGAGACGCGAAAGCGUGGGGAGCAAACAGG
rnacentral:rRNA from 1 species